rnacentral:rRNA from 1 species
AGUGAACGCUGGCGGUAGGCCUAACACAUGCAAGUCGAACGGCAGCACAGGAGAGCUUGCUCUCUGGGUGGCGAGUGGCGGACGGGUGAGGAAUACAUCGGAAUCUGCCCAGUCGUGGGGGAUAACGUAGGGAAACUUACGCUAAUACCGCAUACGACCUUCGGGUGAAAGAGGGGGAUCGCAAGACCUCUCGCGAUUGGAUGAGCCGAUGUCGGAUUAGCUAGUUGGCGGGGUAAUGGCCCACCAAGGCGACGAUCCGUAGCUGGUCUGAGAGGAUGAUCAGCCACACUGGAACUGAGACACGGUCCAGACUCCUACGGGAGGCAGCAGUGGGGAAUAUUGGACAAUGGGCGCAAGCCUGAUCCAGCCAUACCGCGUGGGUGAAGAAGGCCUUCGGGUUGUAAAGCCCUUUUGUUGGGAAAGAAAUCUUUCAGGCUAAUACCCUGGGAGGAUGACGGUACCCAAAGAAUAAGCACCGGCUAACUUCGCG